rnacentral:rRNA from 1 species
CUGUGAGCUCGAUGAGUAGGGCGGGACACGUGGUAUCCUGUCUGAAUAUGGGGGGACCAUCCUCCAAGGCUAAAUACUCCUGACUGACCGAUAGUGAACCAGUACCGUGAGGGAAAGGCGAAAAGAACCCCGGCGAGGGGAGUGAAAAAGAACCUGAAACCGUGUACGUACAAGCAGUGGGAGCACAGAGCAAUCUGUGUGACUGCGUACCUUUUGUAUAAUGGGUCAGCGACUUAUAUUCUGUAGCAAGGUUAACCGAAUAGGGGAGCCGAAGGGAAACCGAGUCUUAACUGGGCGUUAAGUUGCAGGGUAUAGACCCGAAACCCGGUGAUCUAGCCAUGGGCAGGUUGAAGGUUGGGUAACACUAACUGGAGGACCGAACCGACUAAUGUUGAAAAAUUAGCGGAUGACUUGUGGCUGGGGGUGAAAGGCCAAUCAAACCGGGAGAUAGCUGGUUCUCCCCGAAAGCUAUUUAGGUAGCGCCUCGUGAAUUCAUCUCCGGGGGUAGAGCACUGUUUCGGCAAGGGGGUCAUCCCGACUUACCAACCCGAUGCAAACUGCGAAUACCGGAGAAUGUUAUCACGGGAGACACACGGCGGGUGCUAACGUCCGUCGUGAAGAGGGAAACAACCCAGACCGCCAGCUAAGGUCCCAAAGUCAUGGUUAAGUGGGAAACGAUGUGGGAAGGCCCAGACAGCCAGGAUGUUGGCUUAGAAGCAGCCAUCAUUUAAAGAAAGCGUAAUAGCUCACUGGUCGAGUCGGCCUGCGCGGAAGAUGUAACGGGGCUAAACCAUGCACCGAAGCUGCGGCAGCGACACUGUGUGUUGUUGGGUAGGGGAGCGUUCUGUAAGCCUGUGAAGGUGUGCUGUGAGGCAUGCUGGAGGUAUCAGAAGUGCGAAUGCUGACAUAAGUAACGAUAAAGCGGGUGAAAAGCCCGCUCGCCGGAAGACCAAGGGUUCCUGUCCAACGUUAAUCGGGGCAGGGUGAGUCGACCCCUAAGGCGAGGCCGAAAGGCGUAGUCGAUGGGAAACAGGUUAAUAUUCCUGUACUUGGUGUUACUGCGAAGGGGGGACGGAGAAGGCUAUGUUGGCCGGGCGACGGUUGUCCCGGUUUAAGCGUGUAGGCUGGUUUUCCAGGCAAAUCCGGAAAAUCAAGGCUGAGGCGUGAUGACGAGGCACUACGGUGCUGAAGCAACAAAUGCCCUGCUUCCAGGAAAAGCCUCUAAGCAUCAGGUAACAUCAAAUCGUACCCCAAACCGACACAGGUGGUCAGGUAGAGAAUACCAAGGCGCUUGAGAGAACUCGGGUGAAGGAACUAGGCAAAAUGGUGCCGUAACUUCGGGAGAAGGCACGCUGAUAUGUAGGUGAAGUCCCUCGCGGAUGGAGCUGAAAUCAGUCGAAGAUACCAGCUGGCUGCAACUGUUUAUUAAAAACACAGCACUGUGCAAACACGAAAGUGGACGUAUACGGUGUGACGCCUGCCCGGUGCCGGAAGGUUAAUUGAUGGGGUCAGCGCAAGCGAAGCUCUUGAUCGAAGCCCCGGUAAACGGCGGCCGUAACUAUAACGGUCCUAAGGUAGCGAAAUUCCUUGUCGGGUAAGUUCCGACCUGCACGAAUGGCGUAAUGAUGGCCAGGCUGUCUCCACCCGAGACUCAGUGAAAUUGAACUCGCUGUGAAGAUGCAGUGUACCCGCGGCAAGACGGAAAGACCCCGUGAACCUUUACUAUAGCUUGACACUGAACAUUGAGCCUUGAUGUGUAGGAUAGGUGGGAGGCUUUGAAGUGUGGACGCCAGUCUGCAUGGAGCCGACCUUGAAAUACCACCCUUUAAUGUUUGAUGUUCUAACGUGGACCCGUGAUCCGGGUUGCGGACAGUGUCUGGUGGGUAGUUUGACUGGGGCGGUCUCCUCCUAAAGAGUAACGGAGGAGCACGAAGGUUGGCUAAUCCUGGUCGGACAUCAGGAGGUUAGUGCAAUGGCAUAAGCCAGCUUGACUGCGAGCGUGACGGCGCGAGCAGGUGCGAAAGCAGGUCAUAGUGAUCCGGUGGUUCUGAAUGGAAGGGCCAUCGCUCAACGGAUAAAAGGUACUCCGGGGAUAACAGGCUGAUACCGCCCAAGAGUUCAUAUCGACGGCGGUGUUUGGCACCUCGAUGUCGGCUCAUCACAUCCUGGGGCUGAAGUAGGUCCCAAGGGUAUGGCUGUUCGCCAUUUAAAGUGGUACGCGAGCUGGGUUUAGAACGUCGUGAGACAGUUCGGUCCCUAUCUGCCGUGGGCGCUGGAGAACUGAGGGGGGCUGCUCCUAGUACGAGAGGACCGGAGUGGACGCAUCACUGGUGUUCGGGUUGUCAUGCCAAUGGCACUGCCCGGUAGCUAAAUGCGGAAGAGAUAAGUGCUGAAAGCAUCUAAGCACGAAACUUGCCCCGAGAUGAGUUCUCCCUGACCCUUUAAGGGUCCUGAAGGAACGUUGAAGACGACGACGUUGAUAGGCCGGGUGUGUAAGCGCAGCGAUGCGUUGAGCUAACCGGUACUAAUGAACCGUGAGGCUUAACCUUACAACGCCGAAGGUGUUU